GGCCUGAUGGCUUAGUGGUUAAAGCACUGGCUAUAUAAACUGGAGGUCCUGGGUUCAAAUCCCGAUCAGGUCA